AGCGAACGCUGGCGGCAGGCCUAACACAUACAAGUCGAACGAACUCUUCGGAGUUAGUGGCGGACGGGUGAGUAACACGUGGGAACGUGCCUUUUGGUUCGGAAUAACUCAGGGAAACUUGUGCUAAUACCGAAUGUGCCCUUCGGGGGAAAGAUUUAUCGCCAUUAGAGCGGCCCGCGUCUGAUUAGCUAGUUGGUGAGGUAACGGCUCACCAAGGCGACGAUCAGUAGCUGGUCUGAGAGGAUGACCAGCCACACUGGGACUGAGACACGGCCCAGACUCCUACGGGAGGCAGCAGUGGGGAAUCUUGCGCAAUGGGCGAAAGCCUGACGCAGCCAUGCCGCGUGAAUGAUGAAGGUCUUAGGAUUGUAAAAUUCUUUCACCGGGGACGAUAAUGACGGUACUCGGAGAAGAAGCCCCGGCUAACUUCGUG
rnacentral:rRNA from 1 species